CAGUAGCCACGGUAAUACGUAGGUCCCGAGCGUUGUCCGGAUUUAUUGGGCGUAAAGGGAGCGCAGGCGGUUUAGUAAGUCUGAAGUUAAAGGCAUUGGCUCAACCAAUGUAUGCUUUGGAAACUGUUAGACUUGAGUGCAGAAGGGGAGAGUGGAAUUCCAUGUGUAGCGGUGAAAUGCGUAGAUAUAUGGAGGAACACCGGUGGCGAAAGCGGCUCUCUGGCCUGUCACUGACGCUGAGGCUCGAAAGCGUGGGUAGCGAACAGGAUUAGAGACCCCAGUAGUCCCUGUCUCUUAUACA
rnacentral:rRNA from 1 species